CUGCUGUUACAACAUUUCCUACACCUUCUUCGCCUUGUUAUAUUAACAAUAAUAAAAGCACAAUUAAUUCUUCUGCCUCGAGUAGGCCCAAUUAUCAGUCCCAUCAUCACCCCCAAGCUCGGUUUUUGCGAUCAAGAUUUUAUUCAAUAUUCCCGUGUAAACGGAGCACUAGAGCUCCGCGGAUGCGAUGGACUAGUACUCUCUAUGCGCGUUUUGUUCAUGCCGUUGAGCUUUUCGGUGGCCGUGAAAGAGCAACACCAAAGUCAGUUCUUGAGCUUAUGGAUGUGAAAGAUCUCACCUUAGCGCAUGUUAAAUCCCAUUUACAGUGGGCCAACAUCCAAGCAGAGGCGAACAAUGGAUUUAGAACGUGUUGGAAUUGAAAUACACAGUGUUGAAUUUGGGAGAACAACAUACGAGAGGAAAAUAGACAAAAGAAGAGAAAGUUCUCUAUUGUAACUAUGUUCAAACAAUUAGGAAAGUACAAUCGUAUGGUGAAUCUGAUUCUAGGAUGUGUGGAGCAGCUUGGACCAUUAGAUCAGUUUAUGAUGGAUUAAAUAAGAGCUGUCCGAUUAACUUGUGGGAUUCAAAGAGCAAGCCACGUGAACAAAUCAAGACCAUCAUAUUGGAACCUGAUGGAUUCAAUCACACUGCAUCUAGCUGGGAUACAAUGGCCAACAAAUAAAUUUGAUAUUGUACAUAAAAUAGUACAUGAGCUGUAAAAAGUACAUUAGUUGGGUAUAUACAAUUACUUUGAAAGCUAGUGUAGGACCAAUCAAAUAGGAGACACAUGUAUUAGAUUUUACAUUUUUCUUUAUAGAAAAUACAUGUAUAUUACACACUGUUCAUCAAUGAGAAAGACACCGAAAAUUCCUCAAAGUUUCAGUCUAUUCUUUCCUAUCAUUUUUCUACAUAGUAUCAAAGCAGUUCUAAAAGAUCUUGCUCACAUUAGUCGAUUUCUUUUUUCAUCUUCUUGUUCUUAAUCUACCAGAACCUCAAAUUUUCAAAUGGGAUCAACUUCAGAAGUCUCAUCUACAAACACCGCAAACACUAACAAUGUCCUUGACCACACACACCCCUAUUUUCUUCAUGCUUCAGAUUUACCAGGCAUGAAUAUGGUGAACUCAUGCUUCGAUGGAAAAGUAUAUGGGGGUUGGAGAAGAUGCAUUUUGACUGUACUCUCAGCAAAGAACAAGGUGAGAUUCAUUGAUGGAACCCACAGUGAACCAACCCAUGGUUCUCCUGACUUAAAGUUAUGGAACAGAUCUAAUGAUAUGGAAUGAGCUUGAAGACAGAUUUGGACAAUCAAAUGGAGCUAAGUAGUACCACCUGCAAAAAGAGUUAAAUGCUUUAGUACAGGGGUCAAACGACAUAACAGGUUACUUCACAAAGAUAAAAGGAUUGUGGGAUGAGCUUGAUGCUCUCAACACAAUUGUUCAUGUGCCUGCAACUGUGGUCGGGAGGCAAAAAUGAAUAAGUCACUUCAAGAUGAGAGACUUAUUCAAUUUCUCUUGGGUUUAAAUGACACCUAUGCUACUACCAAGAGUAUCAUACUUAUGAUAACACCUUUGCCAACUGUUAAUCAUGUGUACUCACUAUUGAUACAGGAUGAAAAGCAAAGGGAAGUCUUUGUAAGUUCACAAUUCCUCUAGGAUUCUUCCUCUUUCUUAGCUGCAAAUCAAAACACUUUGGGUCAGAAAAUUGGAAACUAUGAACUCAAGGGAAAGAAGAACAAUCUGGUAUGUUCUCAAUGUAAGAAAGCACGUCAUUCAGUAGAUAAAUGCUACAGGAUAAUAGGACUUUCAACUAACUUCAAGUUUACUAAACCUAAGAGGUUUCAAGGAAAUGCAAGGAGUAAUGCAGUCUUUUCUACUGCGGGAGAACAGGGACAUACUUCUAACUAUUUUGAUGGUGGACAUCCAACUCAUCAAUUGACUCAAGAUCAAUAUACACAGCUCAUCCAUCUGCUUCAACGAUCCAAGAUGAACCAGCCUGGAACCUAAGAACCUGAGGCUGCAGCAAAUGCUGUGAACUGUGCUAAUAACAUCUUGAACAAAUCAUUUUCCACACUAAUUUUUUUCAAACAGAAAACUUGGAUAUUGGAUUCAGGGGCAACAUAACACAUAUGUUAUGAUUCAAAGGAUUUCUUAGAUUUGAGUCCUCUUUGUUAAUCUUCCUACUUCAUAUAGAGUAAAGGUAACACA